ACCCAUGAACUAUGAGAUCACAACCUGAGCUGAAAUCAGACGCUAAACUGACUGAGCCACCCAGACGCUCCUCUAGCUACAAUUUUAUAGCUGACAUGCCUUUUUCAUUGUCACCACUUAAAGGGCAGUGAGGUCUUUAUUUGGGAAAAAGUAUAUAGGCAAAUUAAUGAAAGAUAUAUACUUACAAAAAUUAAAAAAUAUUAGCAUGUUCAUCAAAGGAGGAAAAAUGUGUUCUUUUAACGGUUUACUAGUAAAGCUGUUGUACAGAGCCGCAAUUUUUCUUCCUAGUGUUGAACAGGAACGUGGAAUAGAUCUGAAAGAUAUUGUGAAGCAAAAACAAGGUGUUGAAAAUCAGUCCAAGUUUUGUCUUGGUGUGGUUUUUCUCUUAACAACCAAAUAGAAUUUCAGAGACUAACACUGGGAAUUACAGGUGACUUGGCAUUAAAGCAAAAUGUUUUACAGAAUUGUAGGUCAUUAGGACAGAUCAGGACUGGGCACUAAGGAGAAUAGGAAAGGAAGGCAAUAAAUCAAGGCCCCAACCAGCUGCUGAAAAAGCCCAGGUUUCACAGAACAGAAGUGGGAGGGGGCAUGAAUGCACCAGGGUCAGGCCCGUUCCCCCAGUGCAUCCCCAAAGAAGACCAAGGCUGGACCCCAAAGUCAUCAGGAAAUAGGAUGCAGGCUACUAACAGGUGCCACAGUCUUGAUCACAUCACGAUUUAGUGCUGUAUGUGUUAACUAUUAUUAGUCUAAAGCAGUGCAUGAAAAAUCAUCAGAUUCCCCAGUCUUCUGGCUGGGUCUUAAGAAGAAAUGAGCCAAUGAAAGAAAAAUCCCCACUUCUGACGUGACAUCCCAGGUAAGAGUGGCUGUGAGGAGCAGGGUGGGGAGCAGGGGAGUACCUGGAGGUUGUUGCUGCAUCAGGGCGGGGGCCUGGUCAGGAAAUGGGACACAGCAGGCCAUACACAUUUUGUUUAUUCUACUGUUUGUUCCCAUGACACAAACCACCCAAACCAGGAGCCAUCAGCAGACAAGUUAGUUAGGACUUGUCCAUGAGGGGUCACUAAUGCCACCUCGGUCUCGAGCCACAUCUCUUAUGAGGGUUGAAUGCCUCCUACCUUUGAGAAAUGAGGGACACAGGAAGUCAGUGUCACCACUUCCUGCUUCCAGUUUUUAUCCACAUCAUCCAUUAAAGAAAUCCCUUUCCCUCUUUCACACUGUCAACGUAAAGGACUGCUCAGUGUAAUCAAAUCAUGAGGUUGUGGGACUGGAAAGCAUUUUGGAUGCACUGUUUCCCACCCCCCCCCCGCUCCCCCCUGAUUUCUCUGCUAGACCAGAGCAUUUUAAAAGAUAGCUGUUGUUACCUGCAAUUUGCAAAUGAGGAGACUGAAAAGUUUAAGUUCCCCAAUGCCACAGAGCCAAUGAAUGGCCGAGUCACGUGUACCCAGGUCGGUGUGACCCCAGAGUUCUAUGAAGAUGUCCAAUGAGCUGUCACAGUCCCAGUGAAUGCUGCUUGCCAUCCACACAGGCACAAAUGAACCUCAAGAACAAGGCUGGCUUCUGGCAACAGAAUUCAGUCCUUAGAGGAAGUUGUUUCAGGACCACCCCCACUCCCGCCUUCUCCCCUUCUGCACCCUUGGCCUUUCUUAGGGUCCAUUCUUCCUCCCACACUCUUCUCCCUUCCUGUUCCUGUGUCCUCAAGGAGACUUCUGACUCCAAAGUCAUCAAAGAAAGACCUCUAAAAAGAAAUUCUCCCUCGUAUUAAUACUAAAAAUUCAGAGUGCUUAUAUGUCUAGAAGAGGCAUGAAGGGAGAUCAUGCAUCGCCAAUGAAUUUCCAGAAAUUCUGCAGGCUGUGGAAAAGAGACGUGGGCUAAGUGUAAUGGGUAGCCCUCCAAGUAGCAGGCAUAGGCAACUGCCUACGCCUAAAAUCAGCAAGGAGAAAAUGAAAAUGAUUGUUUCAUAAUACUUUAAAAUAGCCUGCAUGAAGGAGGUGGGAAGGAGAGGACAUUGUUGUUCUGAUUUUAGAGAUAAGAAACCAACACCCCAAAGAAGCCGCUUUGAGCCCCAGAUCAAGUCCAGACGGGCAGAACGGAACACAGCUCAAGGCACUUCUGUGAGAAGCACUGCGGGAAGAGAACAGAGUGACCAGAUCCCUCGGAGCAUCAAUAAUGCACAGCAACUUCUUUUAACUAGGGGUUGUCAAUUUGACUUCCCCAAGAUCAGCGGGGGAUCAAAAGUCACCAGUGGCUAACAGACCUUAUUUGAGUGGAGGAUGCAAUUUCAGCCCAAUCCCCGCUAACGGCCAGCCACAUCAAACAGCCACCUUGAUGCUUUGGUGUUCUUUCGCCUGCCCUUUGAUCAGCUGUGGCUGUAACUGCACAGCAUCCCACAGGGGCCACAGAACCUAACUGGAUCAUUCUUACCUUGGAACCUGAGUUGCUGCAGGGCGAAUCAUUCAUGUUCACGCUCAGAGGCACCAGCUUUAGGAAGCCCAACUCUAACCCCAUUUGGCAAGACAGCUAUUCCAAAUAGUAAGACAAUGCCACACAGGCGUCCCAUGUACCCAUUCAUUCAGCCAACAUGAAUUGAUCACCGAGCACCUAAGUUAUACUUGUGUUCUCCUCCCUUCUUUCCUCCCAACCAAAUCCUCCCCUCCCGUCAAUCCACUCAAGGGUUUCUUCUUUGUUGAAGCCUCUCUCUGAGAUAGACCUUCCCACGGUGACCUUCCCUCUCUUUUCACCCCUCCCACUAAUUAUAAUUGGUCCUCAGUUUGACCUGUAAUUGUUCUCCAGUUGUUUUCCCACUAUCAGUCCUGCGUUCCCACUGACGAGAACCACAUGGCAGAUAGUGCUGUUUUUACGGUGCUCCCUGUCUAG